rnacentral:sRNA from 1 species
GACACCUUAUGAAUUUUAGGCAGGGCAAACGCGGCUGACAUUUGCCUCUUGAAGCAGCUCCAAAUGAUCAUCCAGUACCGUAUGUAGACCGUUUGCCCAUGUGGAACGGAAGCGAAGAUGGUAUCUGACCACACGGGCCCCCGAUGAAAUCAUCAUCAUAAUAAGCCUUGAUCGCGAUGCCUGCUGGAUCCCACAACCCAGGCUAUCGGGAACGAACUGUUUUAGUUUUACCCCGAUCCAAGCCGCGGACGAAUACCCAGUUAACGCCCAACCAUCAUCGAGCACGAACAAGACCAGACGCAGAGCAUGGCUGACAACUGACAAGAGUUUUUGUUUCUGUUGACACAAAACCGUUGAGUUAAAAAAAAAAAGGCAGUGAAAGGAUUUUCCAUAUUU